rnacentral:rRNA from 1 species
UACCCCCAAAAAAGGGUUUUCCCUUCGGGGAUUUGGGGACCAGGUUUGCCAAGGCCUUUUCAAACCCUUUUUCUAAAAUUUUGGGUUAAGUCCCGCAACGAGCGCAACCCUUGCCAUUAGUUGCCAUCAUUCAGUUGGGAACUCUAAUGGGCCUGCCGGUGCUAAGCCGGAGGAAGGUGGGGAUGACGUCCAAGUCCUCAUGGCCCUUACAGGGUGGGCUACACACGUGCUACAAUGGCAACUACAGAGGGUUAAUCCUUAAAAGUUGUCUCAGUUCGGAUUGUCCUCUGCAACUCGAGGGCA